rnacentral:rRNA from 1 species
AACGAACGCUGGCGGCAGGCUUAACACAUGCAAGUCGAACGCCCCGCAAGGGGAGUGGCAGACGGGUGAGUAACGCGUGGGAACAUACCCUUUUCUACGGAAUAGCUCUGGGAAACUGGAAUUAAUACCGUAUACGCCCUACGGGGGAAAGAUUUAUCGGGGAAGGAUUGGCCCGCGUUGGAUUAGCUAGUUGGUGGGGUAAAGGCCUACCAAGGCGACGAUCCAUAGCUGGUCUGAGAGGAUGAUCAGCCACAUUGGGACUGAGACACGGCCCAAACUCCUACGGGAGGCAGCAGUGGGGAAUAUUGUACAAUGGGCGCAAGCCUGAUCCAGCCAUGCCGCGUGAGUGAUGAAGGCCUUAGGGUUGUAAAGCUCUUUCACCGAUGAAGAUAAUGACGGUAGUCGGAGAAGAAGCCCCGGCUAACUUCGUG